UUUGGACCGCAUAUUGUAGAAGUUGGACCGCAUGAAACAAUUUUCCGUAAAGUACAUGCACACUCUCUCCCCCUUCCCGUAAGAUACACGCUCUGCGGAUGAAGCAGGGUUGAGGAUCAUUUGCAGAAAGAAAUACGAUCUUGUCUACCACAAAAAUUCUGAAAAUCCACUGCUUAUGAAGGUGAGGAAGAGGAGAAAUAGGAGGAGGAGGAGGAGGAGGAUAAAUGGCUCCUCAAAAACCCUAUUUUUCUCAAGAGAAGGCGGAGAUGGGAGAUUUACGGCUUCAGAUUUCAUCACCCACCACCACAACCGCUUCUGCUUUGGGGAUCCAAUUUAGUAGUGGAAUAAACAAUACCAAUGGUAAUAAUGGCAAUGGUAGUAUCAACAAUGGCAAUAGUAAGGGUGGGAAGAAGAAGGGAGGAGGAGCAAGGCUAUGGAUGAGGGUAGAUAGACAUGGGAGUUCAGAGGUGGUGGAAUGGGAUAAGAACGCCAUCAUGAAGCGUGUCUCCAUACCUGCACGUGAUCUUCGGAUUCUCGGCCCCGUAUUCUCCAAUUCUUCUAACAUCUUAGCCAGAGAUAAGGCCAUGGUUGUCAAUUUGGUAUUCAUAAAGGCUAUAGUUACUGCCGAGGAAAUGUUGCUUUUGGACCCUUUAUGCCACGAAGUUCUUCCUUUUGUGGAUCAACUAAGACAACAACUUCCUCUUAAACGCCCAUAUAGGAUCCAAGAGUGUGACCAAGAGAAGGAUGAGCCCUUAACAACUGUUGGGCAUUGGCUGCCUGUUCCUGAGGCUUCUGAAGGUCUACAAUGUGAACUUCCCUUUGAGUUCCAAGUCUUGGAGAUUGCAUUGGAGGUUGUUUGUUCCUAUUUUGAUUCUAAUGUUGCUGAUCUUGAGAGGGAAGCACGUCCUGUUCUGGAUGAGUUAGCUAAGAAUGUUAGCACUAAAAAUCUGGAGCACGUUCGUAGUCUGAAAAGCAACCUUACUCGUCUACUUGCACAUGUACAAAAGCAGGUUAGGGAUGAACUGCAGCAUCUUCUUGACGACGAUGAAGAUAUGGCCCAACUAUACUUAACAAGGAAGCAUCUCCAGAACCAGCAACUCGAAGCUGCUGUUGCGGUGGUGGGUUCAAGUAGCCUCACUACAACACCUCACCUGCCUAGGCUUAAUGUGAACCUUCAGAGUAGUGCAAGCUUUGUCACCAGUGCUCAUUCUGAUGACUAUGAUGUGGAAGAUUUGGAGAUGUUGCUUGAAGCAUAUUUUAUGCAGCUUGAAGGGACCCGUAACAAAAUUCUCUCGGUGCGAGAAUAUGUUGAUGAUACAGAGGACUAUGUCAACAUCCAACUUGACAACCACAGAAAUGAACUCAUCCAGCUUCAACUGAUAUUGACCAUCGCUGCCUUUUCCAUUACCAUAGAGACUUUGAUUGCAGGUGCCUUUGGGAUGAAUAUCCCGUGCACACUAUACGAUAUUAAGGGUAUCUUUGGCCCCAUUGUUGGAGGCACUUCCUUUGCUUGUGUGUUGAUCUUCUUCUUCGUGCUAGGAUAUGCCAAAUCCAAAAAACUGCUCGGUUCAUGAUUCAUACGUGAAUAUUGCAUGGAGAGAGAGAGAGAGAGAGAGAGAGAGAGAGAGAGAGAGAGAGAGAGAUGAUAACUAUACUGGCUAUUGUGUUGCUUGGGAAUGGCCACACUGAUUGUCGUAUUAAUAAUCAGUCUCCCCUUUUAUUCCCAGUCAUGAUAAAGAUUCUGCUCAUGUUAGUGCUUGGGAACAAGCACUUAUGAAUUAUUUGUAGAUAGAGAGUUAUAUGCUAACUAUGCUUAUUGUAUUAUUGCUUUGGAGUAGGUUCUCGUCGAUUUAUUGUGUGACGAUAAUUCCUUGACCAGAGUUAUUCAAAUCUCAAAUGUUUUCUUGGCCUUUAGGGUGGCCUCAUUGUCUCUA